CUGCGAGACUGUGAAAGUACGGGAAAGAGCUACGAGUUGCAAAGUCUGUAUGAGUGAUACAUUGCUGUUCAUCAAAGUUAAGGACCAGUGGGGUAUUUUUUUGAGUUUUGUAAAUGUGUAACCAUGUUAAAAUGGUAGGGUGAGCUUUAUUUUGGAGCUGGUUAAAUCUGCCACGGAGAUUCUACUGAAGUAAAAUUACUGUAUGGCAUGUGUGAACUGUGACUCCAUAGCCAUGUGCGAACCGGUGCGAACUGCGACGCCAUAGUCUGAAAUCCUCUUUGCCACCGAGUUUUGAUGUGCGUGAGAUGCUGCCAUCCAUGUUGAUGCAAUAGAUGUGCUCGUGAUUCACGUUGUAGGCCGGAGAUGUCGGUGUUUUGCACGUGGACGGACAAAGUUUCAGGACGGGUUUUCUCCAAUGUGGAUUUCACCGAUGGACCGAACGGUUUGGAUAGACGGUCUUUAUAAUCUGUCACCGAGGAACCGUCCCCAGACACCUUCUGAAGAUGAAAACCAAGGACAUGGGCACAUGAAAUAGAGGCAGGCUUCGGCUACUCAAGAUUUUCAAUCAAGCCCUGAUGGAAUAGCUUUUUCCAAAGAUGCACUGGCAUUACCUGCAGCCCAAAAGCUGAAUAUGUGGCGCUCAAAGGAAAAAUAAAAGUAAAAUUUU